rfam:Aedes albopictus isolate Foshan contig96780, whole genome shotgun sequence.
UAUUUUGUGGCUUAGUUCGUUCGAGCGCCGGUCUAGCGAAUACGGAGGCGUAGGUUUGAAUCCCACCAAAAUUA